UGUCCCGCAAACACAUUCAGUUGGUGGGCUCAAGUGAUUUUAGAAGGAAGUCUAGCGAGUUGGCAAAGAAAGUCGAUAACACUUACAACACUUUGUUGUCGACUCAACGCGGGAGGAAUGUGUUACCAGAGAGGUUUUUGCAGAACGUAGAGCCUGAAGCACAGAUUCACAAUGAUCACUCAGAGCGCCGGAAGAAUAGAUUUCUGAAUUUUCUUAUGACGGGACAAAGCCCUCCUCUGCAGCAGAAUGUCAGAUUCCCUGUGUCUGAUGACGAUAUAACAAACUAUUCAGCAAUAGUCGAACUUGCUCAUAGUGCAAAACAUAAGAAAACUCUUGGUGUUAAGUACCCUGAGGUCCACUGCAACUAUCAGUCCUUGGGGGAGUCCUUAAUGCCUGGCGGAGAAGUUGACAAUUUCCUGAUUCCAUGCUUUUGUCGCAUGAUGUUCAAGGAAAAACACCCUAGUUCGUCUUGUAGACACUACUUUUUUCCUCACGUUGGGGAAGCCAUAUUGAAUUUCAAUUCUGUUCCGAACGAGGUUCUUGUGAGAACUUAUUUUCUAGGUGCAGCUAAAGCUAGCAGAGGAAGAAACCUUGGUUUUAAAAAGAAUAGG